rnacentral:rRNA from 1 species
UACGUAGGGUGCAAGCGUUGUCCGGAAUCAUUGGGCGUAAAGCACGCGUAGGUGGUCAUGUAAGUCCGCUGUGAAAGUCAAAGGCUCAACCUUUGAAAGCCGGUGGAUACUGCAUGACUAGAGUACGGAAGAGGCGAGUGGAAUUCCUGGUGUAGCGGUGGAAUGCGCAGAUAUCAGGAGGAACACCAAUAGCGAAGGCAGCUCGCUGGGACGUUACUGACACUGAGGCGCGAAAGCGUGGGGAGCGAACAGG